rnacentral:lncRNA from 1 species
GCUGCAAGGAGACCUCACUGCAAACAGGUGGGCUCAGAGCUGGAGCUGUGGGUGGAGAGUAGGGGUGGGGGAGGGCUGUGGGUAGCUGGCUUUCAGGCUGGGGUUGGUGUGGUGUGAUGUGAUGUGGUGUGAUGUGUUUGGCAGAGUACCCCAGGUUUGAUUUUGCAUGGAGUCUUGAGCAGGACAGAGCUGAAGCUGUUUGCUCUGUGCUUGGUGGUGCCCAGUCUGCAGGAGCAGAGAUUUCAGUGACGACGAUGGAAUUAUAAGGGCACGAAACUGCUGCGAUGAGAGUUUAGAGCGCUCAGAAAACAAGCGACCUUGGCCAAAGAGCUGGUACCUCCAGCUGGGAGCUCUGUCCAGCCUGGUCUGCUUCUUUUUAUCUUUAGAAUGUGACUGCAAAUGGCUUUCUGCUGUGUCACAAUGUGAAGGUUUGAAGAAAUGUCUUCUGGAGGAGUCCCCAUCCCUGGGGCUGUUCAGAGCCG